rnacentral:rRNA from 1 species
UCCUGGCUUAGGAUAAACGCUGGCGGCGUGCUUAACACAUGCAAGUCGAACGGAGUAAUUCUCCCGAAGAUUGAGGAAGCUUGCUUCUGAAAGAUUCAUUGAAUUACUUAGUGGCGGACGGGUGAGUAACGCGUGGGAAACCUGCCCUAUACUGGGGGAUAGCAGUUGGAAACGACUGAUAAUACCGCAUAAGCGCACAGCUUCGCAUGAAGCAGUGUGAAAAACUCCGGUGGUAUAGGAUGGUCCCGCGUCUGAUUAGCUAGUUGGUGAGGUAACGGCCCACCAAGGCAACGAUCAGUAGCCGGCCUGAGAGGGUGUACGGCCACAUUGGGACUGAGACACGGCCCAAACUCCUACGGGAGGCAGCAGUGGGGAAUAUUGGACAAUGGGGGGAACCCUGAUCCAGCCGACGCCGCGUGAACGAAGAAGUAUUUCGGUAUGUAAAGUUCUAUCAGCAGGGAAGAUAAUGACGGUACCUGACUAAGAAGCACCGGCUAAAUACGUGCCAGCAGCAGC